CACCGCGCGGUCUCUAAUUCGCUUGGUGCAGGUCGGGAACCGCUGCUGCUACUUUCGCGUGUAAUGAGUGUCGAUUGUCGGCGGCGAAUUGGAUCCCGCCUUGCAUCAACUGAAUCGGAGACCGCGGUGGUU
rfam:Lupinus angustifolius cultivar Tanjil chromosome LG06, whole genome shotgun sequence.